rnacentral:hammerhead_ribozyme from 1 species
AUCCAACUGAUGAAUCCCAAAUAGGGCGAAAUGCAUAUCGUGGAU